CCCGGGAGAAAGCACAAUAACAUUACUUGAAGGGAGAUAAGGGAGGAGUUUGUUGGCCAAUAUGGUUACAGUGCUUCAUACUGACAAGUGUCAAAUCAUUCCCAGUCUAGCCACAGAGGAGGAUCACAUAGUUCCUCAGUCUAACUUGUGAAGGAAGCCGGUGUUUAACAGCUAAAAGAAGUUAUCCUCCUUUAUCGGAAUCGGUUUCUCUGCCAGUCCUUCACUUCCCAUCUUGUCCCACGGAGAUGUAUCCUCUCAGAUUUUGGCUCCCCCGCCCCCCUCCCUCCCCAACAGCAAAGCCGGGCAGCAACAGCCUGUGGCCGCCUGGCCCCCAACAAGCCACACUCCUGAACUUAACACGUCUUAUCUUUGUUUGCUAAAACACUUUACUUGCCUCCUCACCUCCGUGUGGAGGAAACCUCCCCAAGGCCCUUUCAGCUUCAUUGUGUCUCCCUCAUUGUCCAGAACAACAGCAAACGGCUUUACUUGUGUUUGUUUAAUCAUAAGCCCCUCCCUGAUUGAAUUUUACUUUUUCGGAAAAGGAAACGAGCCAAAUACGUAAAGUAGCAGAAACCGAGUUUUUGUGUGAUUAGAAAAGCGUUCACCUCACCUCUCUAACUGCUAGGUAGCUACUGCUGUUUUAUUCAGCCCCCGGAGCUGGUUCAUAAGCGCUUGUCUGUAGAGCCACAAAUCCGUGACCUGCUGUCCCUGCCACGGCCCAGCUGCCUCCAACCCGACUUCUCUGCCUCAACUCCUCCCGGGAGCCUCCUGCAGCCCGUUUCCUGUACAGCCUGGGUCCCGGAGGAGUGGGCCUGUUUCCCACUGGCCCUGGCUUCCCAGUGAUUUAGUAGCUUCCUUUCUGUUAGUGUCGCCGAAGGAGGAACAGGAGGCCCAAAGGGGGCCUGGCUACUCAAAUUGGGGUCCCUGAACGACCAGCAGCAAGUCACCCAGGAACUGGUUGGAAAUGCAGAGCCUCCAGCUCCACCCUUGACCUACAAGCCAGACUCAGCACCUUAAGGAGACCCCCGCUCGCCUGGCUGCAGGGGAAGCAGAAUUCAGCCGUCCCUGGUGAUUCCGGUCCAGGGCCACGCGUCCAUGGUUCCCGAUAGCUGAGGGUCUCCAGUCAUUGGAACAAAAUCUUCUUUGUAUGUGACAGUCGUUUCCACAGGAAACCCUUUCAGGGCUCAGGUAUUUCACUGCUUAGCUCCAAUUCAUCACUUGGCCCUGGGCUUUCAUAUGUUGAGACAUCUUUUUGUUCUACGUCAUCACCUAAUUGUGCUUCUCCCCUCCCCGCACCCCGACCGGAGAGAAAGUCAAGGAGCCCAGCAGGGUCCAGGUGCCCACUGCCUCCGCGGCCUGGCCAGGACGCUUGGCGCUGCAGGGGAAGGACCUAAACACUCUUCCUUUUCGGUUCUUUGUCUAGGGUUUUGUUGUCAGUUAUUAUUAGCAUUGCCAUUAGCUUUUCUUUUUUUAAAAUUUAGCUGAGAAUGUUAGUGUGUUUCCAUUUGGGGUAAAAUUGAAAGCCACCAAUUGUGAGACAAAGCUCUGAAGUGAAAUCAACACGGAUCCCUUCAGCUGUGGAAACUUCCCUUCCUGAUUUCAUCCUCCCCAUGAGAUUUCACCAGGAGAAGGGCACGUCUCUGUGCAAAUGAAUGUGACUAUUCGGUGACUAAUGCAUGUUGCCUGGAAACACAAGGCGUUUGUGGUCCGAUUCAUGUCCAAUUGAGGAAAAAGAUGAGUCCUAAAGUAAGAGCAUCAAGUCAAUGACCCUUGACCAUUUGCCCAAGUGUAACCACUGGGUUUAUAGGAUUUAAAUAAGGGUAUGAGGACCAAGCAACCAAUUUUAAGUGUGUGGAUCAUAAAUAAAGAAAAGCCACAGGCCCAAAAUGACACAACUCAUGGUAAAAGCUCAAGAUAACAAACUUAGAUUUAAUAAUUGACAUAAUUACAGUUUCAAUCUCUCCUAGACAGGUAAUCUCCCGUCCCUGCCCCCCCCUUUUUUAACGUGAAAGGAGAAACGGAACCUUAAUCAACUGGUCUGGAAUUUUCCAGUCAAGUACCAGUAGGGUAAUCAGUCUAAAGAGGCUUCUCCUUAGAAAGAAGAGGCAUCUGCAUGAUAAACACCCUCUCAUCCUCUUCCCCCAAAGAAAAGAUGCCUUGGCCCCAGAACACGCCUUUCUUUUCUUUUGUAAAUCGCCUCCUUGCCCCACCUUCUUCCUAUGAAAACUUUGCAGGUUGUGCAACCCCUGAGAGCCCCUUGCAGUAGCUAAAAGCCUUGCUGUCUGCGGCCUGACUCAUGAAACGCUAGAAGAUAAUCAGACGUAAUGUAUUCGGCUGAAUUUUGUGUUGCCGCACGAUGAACCUGGCCUCCAUAUAAUAACAUUGAAGAGAGAAGAAGGGAGAGGGACAGAGAGUUAGAAACAUCGAUGAGAGAGAUGGAUCAGCUGCCUCCUGCACGCCCCCCACUGGGGACGUGCCCUCAACCCAGGUACAUGCCCUUGACCGGAAUUGAACCCGGGACCCUUCAGUCCGCAGGCCGACGCUCUAUCCACUGAGCCAAACCGGUUCGGCUGAUGUUUACUUUUAAAGCAAAAGAACGUGUGUAAUAAAAAAUGUGUAUUAGAAA